CCUGCAGCAGGGCCCUCGUGCGAGGCCUUGGGACGACGCUCUUGGCGGCUCCCAAAGCUGAGCACAUCUCCUUUCGGAGGCCUUUUUUGCCCAUUUCUUAAGCCGGCCGGAGAAAAAUGGGGAGUUCUGCUGCCUGUUGCCAAGAAAGGUCGCUGUUGCAGCAGAGGUCAGAGGAGGAAGAAACGCAGCUCCCUGAUUAGAAACAGCAGCUUAAAAACAAACCCAAAACACAAGAGGUAAAGAGGACAUUCCUGCAACAUACUUGUCUAAGCCAACGUCCAUGGGGGAGCGUGGAAAUAGGAAACGCGCCUUCCUCCGCACAAAGGGAAAAAGGUGAGCCAGUGACUGCAGAAACGGGAGGCAUUUACCGAGAGCAUGGACAGAGGAGAAUUAGCUCUUGCUAAAUGGCCUCAUUACCACUUUAGGCAAAAAGUUACAUGUUCAUCACCAGUGUUUGUCUGCCCACUAAGGGCAGGGAAUGGCAGGGCCGGGAGGCUGGGGGCUCUUCAGCUAACGAGGGCUGCACAGGUGUAAAUGACUAGCAAAGGGGGGUCAGUCCCUUUCUGCAGUAAGCCCUAGCAGAGAGGACGCGCGCUACGGCACUUUGUUCCCUUUCCUCGCCCGUGCCGGUACGGAAGGGGCCUGUCCAGCCUGCGGAAAAAUCCUGCUGGCAGGGAGCAUCUUGUUCCCUCCUGAAACCUGCCAAGUGAAACCCUCCCCAGGAGCCCCCAUUAAUCACAGUGUAAUACGUCUUUUAAUUAAAGGGAGUCAGGAAAGACUGAAAGCAGACGGGAUUUUUCCCCCUGCACCAUUAGUGAUUGUCCUUCAUUAAACAAUAGCAGGUUUCCAUUAUCCAGGGUAAUUCAAGAGCACAGUAACUGUUGUCAAAUGCAGGAGAUGUUGCGGUGUAAGUCUGAUUUAAAGUGGCUAUUUGGGCCUCAAUUAUUAAUGGGAUUAGCAUCCUGUAAGUCAGCAACCGGCACAGCCACAGGUAAGAGCACUGAAGGAAAAUCAUAUUAGCAUGAUUUUUCCCCUCCUGGGGAAGGGCCCUAGAUACCAUUAGUCACUUAGUGCUACAACAUCAAUGAGAUUAAAAUACUGCCUGCAAUCGCACCGGAGAUCAGUACAGGUUGGGAUAUUUCAGCAAUAGUAACAAGCCCAGAAACAUGCAGCUGCGUUUGCCUCUGGGCUAGUUUGCUCUUUCAGGGAAAUAAGAUGUUAAUGGGGGGCUGCCCCGGGUAGAGGGACACCAUCAGCUGUCCCUGGAAAAAGCCUUCCAUGGUGGGAGCUUUGGACAAAGCCAGAAACCUUCCUGUACUGGAAGGUAGGUGAGGAGAUGACAGCUGCCUUCGGAGCGCUUCUCCUGCACGUCCUGGUCUCAGGUAAGUUCCUUAUACACGCUGGACCCUUUCCGAGGCGGCGGAUGCCGUCCGUGAUGCGUGCACAUGGCUAGCGCACGCGCCCUGUUUGCACAAGUCAGCGGGAUUAGAUGCUGUGAAAGGGAACGGCUUUGCUCUUACCGGGCAGCGUGGACGGACUGUGACCGCAGCAGAGCAGCACACGUCUGCAGCGCAACUCACGUGAGUACGGUCCUUACAAGUGCUCAUCUAACAAGGAAUCCAGAAGUGCCAGUUUUCAGGGUUAACCUACUUUUUAACUCCACAGUGAUGACUAUGGUAUGAGUAAGCAGCCAGACACACGUGGCUAGCUCCAUUUUGAAAGCAGGGAAACUGAGGCAAGGAAAGGCACGCGAUGCUUCACCAGGCUAACGCGGGCAGUGCUUGGCAGAGGCCAAAUGCAAUUUCCUGGUCUAAUUCAUUUACUGAGGCCCACGAAGAUUAAUCCCCCAGCCACAGCUGACACCUUUCCACCUCCCUGCCACUAAACCUAGCGGAAGGUGCCUGUUUGCGUUGCAGGAAGCUCCGCUGCAGAUGCUCUGUGGCCCAGAAACUCCACUCCCCAUUGCCUGGCCAGGCAGCUUCUACAGCAUCACCUCGGGGGAGAGAGACCCAUCACGGACUGCAGAGAGGCCGCCACCGCGUGCCAGGACCUCUGCGUGCACACGGUGCUGGAUGCGGAAUCACAGCCUCCCCGUGCAGUUGCCCUCGAGCUCCUGCUGCUCAUGACACGCUGUCACCUGACGGACCGGGACCAGCUCCCGGCGGAAGCGAGCCCGCUGCAUGUUAGCAGACUGGAGGGAAUUUGGACUUGGAUUGCCCAAAGCGGUGAGGUUUCCAGGCUGAUGGCAGCUUGAAUGCUGAUCUCCUUACAGGACUUUGAAGACUGCAUCCUCACAGCUUUCCCUGCACUUGCGUGCAAACAUUUUUGUUGCAAGGCAAGAGGGUGAGGAGGAGUCAGCGGAGCCGAUAAACAUGGUGCAAUUGAGCAACCCAAUAAACUUUAUCCAAUUUGUCUUACAUGCAAAGAAAAAAAACCCAAGAUAACCAGCAAAGUUUAAAUCCAACAUAAAGAAAACCUGCCAAUUUCAA